GCAUAUCAAUAAGCGGAGGAAAAGAAACCAACAGGGAUUGCCCUAGUAACGGCGAGUGAAGCGGCAACAGCUCAAAUUUGAAAUCUGGCGCAAGCCCGAGUUGUAAUUUGUAGAGGAUGCUUCUGGGCAGCGGCCGGUCUAAGUCUCUUGGAACAGGGCGUCAUAGAGGGUGAGAAUCCCGUAUGCGACCGGCUGGCACCCGUCACGUAGCUCCUUCGACGAGUCGAGUUGUUUGGGAAUGCAGCUCUAAAUGGGUGGUAAAUUCCAUCUAAAGCUAAAUACCGGCUAGAGACCGAUAGCGCACAAGUAGAGUGAUCGAAAGAUGAAAAGCACUUUGGAAAGAGAGUUAAAAAGCACGUGAAAUUGUUGAAAGGGAAGCGCAUGCAACCAGACUUGUCCGCGGUGUUCCGCCGGUCUUCUGACCGGUCUAUUCGCCGCGGGCAGGCCAGCAUCGUCUGGGUGCGCCGGAUAAAGGCGGUGGGAAUGUGGCCCCUCGGGGUGUUAUAGCCCACUGCACAAUACGGCGCCGCCCGGGCGAGGUCCGCGCUUCGGCUAGGAUGCUGGCGUAAUGGUUGUUUGCGGCCCGUCUUGAAACACGGACCAAGGAGUCUAACAUCUAUGCGAGUGUUCGGGUGUCAAACCCCUACGCGGAAUGAAAGUGAACGGAGGUGGGAACCCUUACGGGUGCACCAUCGACCGAUCCUGAUGUCUUCGGAUGGAUUUGAGUAAGAGCAUAGCUGUUGGGACCCGAAAGAUGGUGAACUAUGCCUGAAUAGGGUGAAGCCAGAGGAAACUCUGGUGGAGGCUCGCAGCGGUUCUGACGUGCAAAUCGAUCGUCAAAUUUGGGUAUAGGGGCGAAAGACUAAUCGAACCAUCUAGUAGCUGGUUCCUGCG
rnacentral:rRNA from 1 species